AGAGCGAACGCUGGCGGCAGGCCUAACACAUGCAAGUCGAACGGAUCCUUCGGGAUUAGUGGCAGACGGGUGAGUAACACGUGGGAACGUGCCUUUUGGUUCGGAACAACUCAGGGAAACUUGAGCUAAUACCGGAUGUGCCCUUCGGGGGAAAGAUUUAUCGCCAUUAGAGCGGCCCGCGUCUGAUUAGCUAGUUGGUGAGGUAAAGGCUCACCAAGGCUUCGAUCAGUAGCUGGUCUGAGAGGAUGAUCAGCCACACUGGGACUGAGACACGGCCCAGACUCCUACGGGAGGCAGCAGUGGGAAUCUUGCGCAAUGGGCGAAAGCCUGACGCAGCCAUGCCGCGUGAAUGAUGAAGGUCUUAGGAUUGUAAAAUUCUUUCACCGGGAAGAUAAUGACGGUACCGGAGAAGAAGCCCCGGCUAACUUCGUGCCAGCAGCCGC
rnacentral:rRNA from 1 species